rnacentral:rRNA from 1 species
GGUGGAUGCCUUGGCAGUCAGAGGCGAUGAAAGACGUAGUAACUUGCGAUAAGCCCAGAUUAGGUAGUAACAACCAUUUGAGUCUGGGAUUUCUGAAUGGGGAAACCCACGUGCAUAAGCACGUAUCCUUACCUGAAUACAUAGGGUAAGGAGGCGAACCGGGGGAACUGAAACAUCUAAGUACCCCGAGGAAAAGAAAUCAACCGAGAUUCCGAAAGUAGCGGCGAGCGAAAUUGGACUAGCCCUUAAGCUUUACACGCGUUAGACGAACGGUCUGGAAAGUCCGACGAUACAGGGUGAUAGUCCCGUAGUUGACGACGUGUGUUCAGUGAAAUCGAGUAGGGCGGGACACGUGAUAUCCUGUCUGAAUAUGGGGGGACCAUCCUCCAAGGCUAAAUACUACUGACUGACCGAUAGUGAACCAGUACCGUGAGGGAAAGGCGAAAAGAACCCCUGUGAGGGGAGUGAAAUAGAACCUGAAACCGUGUACGUACAAGCAGUAGGAGCAGGCUUUGUCCUGUGACUGCGUACCUUUUGUAUAAUGGGUCAGCGACUUAUAUUCAGUGGCAAGGUUAACCAUCUAGGGGAGCCGUAGGGAAACCGAGUCUUAACUGGGCGUUCAGUCUCUGGAUAUAGACCCGAAACCAGGUGAUCUAGCCAUGGGCAGGUUGAAGGUUGAGUAACAUCAACUGGAGGACCGAACCGACUAAUGUUGAAAAAUUAGCGGAUGACUUGUGGCUAGGGGUGAAAGGCCAAUCAAACCUGGAGAUAGCUGGUUCUCCCCGAAAGCUAUUUAGGUAGCGCCUCGGACGAAUACUACUGGGGGUAGAGCACUGUUAAGGCUAGGGGGUCAUCCCGACUUACCAACCCUUUGCAAACUCCGAAUACCAGUAAGUACUAUCCGGGAGACACACGGCGGGUGCUAACGUCCGUCGUGGAGAGGGAAACAACCCAGACCGCCAGCUAAGGUCCCAAAUUACUACUAAGUGGGAAACGAUGUGGGAAGGCUCAGACAGCCAGGAUGUUGGCUUAGAAGCAGCCAUCAUUUAAAGAAAGCGUAAUAGCUCACUGGUCGAGUCGGCCUGCGCGGAAGAUGUAACGGGGCUAAGUAGUAAACCGAAGCUGCGGCAAUAUACUUUUGUAUAUUGGGUAGGGGAGCGUUCUGUAAGCGGUUGAAGGUGUGUGGUAACGCAUGCUGGACGUAUCAGAAGUGCGAAUGCUGACAUGAGUAACGAUAAAGGGGGUGAAAAACCUCCUCGCCGGAAGACCAAGGGUUCCUGUCCAACGUUAAUCGGGGCAGGGUAAGUCGACCCCUAAGGCGAGGCCGAAAGGCGUAGUCGAUGGGAAACGGGUUAAUAUUCCCGUACUUCUUACAAUUGCGAUGGGGGGACGGAGAAGGCUAGGUGGGCCUGGCGACGGUUGUC